rnacentral:rRNA from 1 species
GAUGAACGCUAGCGGCAGGCCUAAUACAUGCAAGUCGAGGGGCAGCACGGUAGCAAUACUGGUGGCGACCGGCGCACGGGUGCGUAACACGUAUACAAUCUGCCUUUAACAGGGGGAUAGCCCGGAGAAAUCCGGAUUAAUACCCCAUAACACAUGAAACGGCAUCGUUUUAUGUUGAAAGCUCCGGCGGUUAAAGAUGAGUAUGCGACUGAUUAGCUAGUUGGUGAGGUAACGGCUCACCAAGGCGACGAUCAGUAGGGGAUCUAAGAGGAUUAACCCCCACACGGAUACUGAGACACGGAUCCGACUCCUACGGGAGGCAGCAGUAAGGAAUAUUGGACAAUGCCCGCAAGGGUGAUCCAGCCAUGCCGCGUGCAGGAAGACGGCCCUAUGGGUUGUAAACUGCUUUUGUACCGGAGAAAACCUCCCCUCGUGAGGGGAGCUGAUAGUAUGGUAAGAAUAAGCAUCGGCUAACUUCGUG